GCCAGGUGUGGUGGCACGCACCUGUUAUCCCAGGUACUUGGGAGGCUAAAGUGGGAGGAUCACUUGAGCCCAGGAGUUCUAGGCUGCAGUGAGCCAUGAUCGUGCCACUGCACUCUACCCUGGGCAAAAAAGUAAGACCCUAUCUCAA
ensembl:misc_RNA Metazoa_SRP Metazoan signal recognition particle RNA